rnacentral:lncRNA from 1 species
UCCCCGGUUAGAACGAUCCCUACUUACAUCAUUACUACAAUUGUCACAAAUAGGGUUUAAUUUGUGUGUUUAUAUAUUUCGCAUCAGUCCUACACCGAGAGGACUCGAAUAUGCCAAUGCGAAAGCUUUGAUGUCAGGAUCGUAUGCCUCGAUUCUAAAUCCUGAAAAGGGAAACAAGGGUGAGUGGACCAAGUUCAUAUACAUACAUAAUGCGAAAACAAUUAUAAACAUACUAACCCCCAGGUUUAUAUAUAAUGAGAACUACUAGCCUAAUAAAUGAUAGGUUUUCUGAACUUUAGCAUGCCAUAAAACAUCUCAACAGGUAAAAUGCGAAAAAAACAUCAUAUAAAUCAUUGUGUGUAUCGUCUCGUAAAUGCGGUGUGCUGCUAGUAAGAUCACUGAAUAAAUAUAUAUCUCCCGACCCUAUGCCAACACCGUGGUCUCUACGCCCGUAGCCAGAUAUUACCAACUCCAGGCCCAAUGCCUGCUUCGUGUCCCUCAGCCCGUAGCUAGGGAUUAUUUCUCCCAGCCUAAUUGCCAACACUAGAUCCUCGCCCCAGGUUGCAUAGUGUCCACUAGGUACGCACAAAUAGUUACGCCUCUCAUAAAUAACCAUUUCAUAGUAUAAAAUCAUCCAUCGUGUAUACUAUAAAGAGGGGUUUCUAAAACAUGUUCUAGCAUCCUAUCAUCAUCCAUCAGAUAGUCUACCAGUUCAUGGUUUUUAUAGAAAAUACGAUAUAUUAAAAUAUAGCUCAAUAUAGGCCAACAAUUAAAUUCCUCACCAAAAACACAAGACGAAAAUCAACAAAUUCAAUAAACAUGCUUAGCAUAAAAUCAGUUCAUAAACUCGUAAGGCAUGCUAUUCAUUUAUACAAUUGAACUAUAAAAUCAUGUAAAUUUUAGAAGGGGUCCAUUCACCGUACACCGAUGGUGCAAAGCUAUACCAACAGGACUAAUAGAAUCAUCGUUCAUAUUUGCACCUAUUCACAUAAAGGAAUACCUUUAGUCAAAUUCUAUUUAAACGGUUGAAUUUGGGAAAACUGACUUUAAAGACGGGUCCAGAACGUCGAAAUUAGCCUAGGAGAGGUCCCAGACGAAACCCCGAAAAAUAAAGUCUAAAAGUCAACGUUGACCGGUCAAAGUCAAAGUCAACGCUGACCUUUGACCGAGUCAAUGGUCAAAGGUCAACUAGGCUUGGAUUUGGGUUGGGCCGAAUUUAAGGCUUAGGUCUUUGGGUUUGGAGGAUUUAGGGAAAUAGAUUUAGGAUGUUGGGUUUUUAGGUUUUGAGCUUAAAGCUCUUAUCAGAAAUGGCCCAAGGGCCCUAAGGGUUUUUGGGUUCAACAAAAGGGCACAGGCCAAAGCCCUUAAAUGUAAUGGCUCAAAAGGGCCUUUAGGUUAAAAAGGCUUAGGCCUUAACAAAUAAGGCCCAAAGGCCUUACUUUAAACCGAAAACAAAAAUAAAUAAAUAAAAUAAAUAAAUAAAAGAAUUAGGUUUG